ACGCUCGACACCUACGGGAGGCAGCAGUGGGGAAUAUUGCACAAAUGGGGGAAACCCGUGAUGCAGCGACGCCGCGUGGAGGAAGAAGGUCUUCGGAUUGUAAACUCCUGUUGUUGGGGAAAAAGAGGAUGGUACCCAACAAGGAAGUGACGGCUAACUACGUGCCGGCAGCCGCGGUAAUCUGAGCGGGCUGGCAAGGC
rnacentral:rRNA from 1 species